rnacentral:lncRNA from 1 species
GAGCAAACAUUUACUCCACAGGAAAAAUCUGAAUCCAUGUAAUUAGUAUCAGUUGCCAUUACAGCCUUGGAUUUUUGUUUGAGGCACUCCACCCUUGGAAUUAAUCCAAGCAAAGAAUGGAAAACGGACAAGUGAAAUAAUCAUAUAGAUCCAUCAAUCUACACGUGGAUAUAUAUGACACAAACACAUACACAAACAACCGACCCGCCGGCUCACGUAGCAUAGGAAUGUUCAUGGUCGCUGCAUGCUGGACGGCCGAAUUGUUGAGGCUCAGCUGGUGGCUCAUGAAGCGGGCACCUUGCCGCCGGUGAGUUCAAUCUGAAUGGGGACGCCGGCGGCCCUACCUGUCGUUAGGGACUUCGCGGCAGAUGCAGGGAGUAGGUCAUCAGUGGUGAUAGUGAUCAUGCCAUCACCCUCCGACAGCUGCCUCUGGCUAGCGACCACGCUAGCCCUGCCCGUCGUCAAGGACUUCGCAGCCGAUGCAGGGAGCACAUCAUCGGUGGUGAUUGGAAUCAUGCCAUCGCCUGACAGCAGCUGCCUCUGGAUGGCGACUACGCUAGCCCUGCCCGUCGUGAGGGACUUCGCGGCUGAUGCAGGGAGCAGGUCAUCGGUGGUGAUUGGGAUCAUGCCGUCACCCGACAGGAGUUUCCUAGGGGCUGCAGCCUUAAACGCAUUAGCUGUUGCCACAGAAGCAGCCGCCGCCAUGAAGGCUACGAUGAAGAGGGUUGUGGCGACGGUCUUGCUCUGGGCCAUUGUUAUUUGCUAGCGUCGAUCCUAAAUGGUGAAUGUGUGGUUGUGUUGUGUGUC